rnacentral:lncRNA from 1 species
ACAAUUAAUAAUAAGAGAAAUAAAAACUAAUUAAAGCUAUUAUUGCAAAUUUAGAGACCCACAUUCGCAGCUUUGAUUCCUCUCCUAUUCUUCCCUUCCCGUCUCUCCCUCUCUCGCGAUUAUCUGUUCUCUACUUCUCUUUUUCCCUUUUCUCUCUCUCUUCUCUCUCAAUUUCCUCUCCUCUCGGGUCUCCUUUCUUUGUGUUUGUGUUUUUUU